rnacentral:rRNA from 1 species
UGCUGCAAUACCAAGUCAUUGUUAAAGAGAGCCAAAUCUGGUCAGUACUUGGCUGGGAUUCCUGAGAAAAUCCAGGUAUUGCAGGAA